AGGAUAAACGCUGGCGGCGUGCCUAACACAUGCAAGUCGAACGUCUCUUCUUUCGGGAAGAGGAGUGGCGGACGGGUGAGGAACACGUGGGAACCUGCCCUUUAGUGAGGAAUACCGGCGAGAAAUCGCCGACAAGACCGCAUAGCCCUCUUUGAUGAGAGUCAAAGAAGGAAAGCUUCGCAAGAGGCGCUAGAGGAGGGGCCUGCGUCCGAUUAGCUAGUUGGUGGGGUAAGAGCCUACCAAGGCGUCGAUCGGUAGCUGGUCUGAGAGGACGAUCAGCCACACUGGGAUUGAGAACGGCCCAGACUCCUACGGGGGGCAGCAGUGAGGAAUUUUCGGCAAUGGGGGAAACCCUGACCGAGCAACGCCGCGUGCAGGAAGACGGCCUUGGUUGUAAACUGCUUUUCUUGGGUAAGAGAACGGACGGUACCAGAGGAAUCAGCCCCGGCUCACUACGUGCCAGCAGCCGC
rnacentral:rRNA from 1 species